rnacentral:lncRNA from 1 species
GGGAACUGGAGUGCACUGGCACUGGCAGGGGCGAACUCCACUCACUCUCUGCUCCACCCCACGUGGGAGUGGGAGCACAGGUGAGCAGGUGCAGGAGCCAGGGUGUGUGCUUUUAGGUGCCGGCAAGAGCGAACUCCGUACUGGCCCAUGGCAGCAUCUAAGGGAGGGUGCCGGAAGUCCCUGAAGCCACAGAGGAAGUGUUACAGUGCCCUUUACCUUUGCUGUCUGUAGACAGCUUAACAGCUCAGCAGAGGGUCAGUGUGACAGCCUUUUGUGCCCACACUUGAGGCACACGAGUUUUUGUCUGGAGUCCAGGAGGAAUAAGGUCUCACAAACGAAUUGAAGGUGGUAAAUGUGGGGGAUUUCAUUGCCAAUGAAAGUGGCUCUCAGUGAGAAAGGGAGCUGGAAAGGGGACGGAACAAGAAGGUAAUCUUCACCUGAGAUUCUCCAGCCAUCCCUGCCAGACUCCUCUCUUCAGAGGAUGAUAAAAACUAUAUGCCUACAUUUAGGAUGAGUCUCUCUCUCCGACAUCCAACCAUACUCUCCAACAUCCAGCUCCUUCUCGUCUCUCUCCCAGGUGGAGGAAGAGGCCACAAACCAACGAAUGCAGGCAAUAUUUAGAAGCCGGAAAAGACAAGGAAAAAGAUUCUCCUCUAAAGCCUCCAGAAGGAAUGAAGCUCUGCUGACACCUUGAUUUUAAUCUCAGUAAAGCCCGUUUUGGAUUUAUGACUUCAGAACUGGAAGAUAAUAUGUUUGUGUUGUUUUAAGCCACUAAAUUUGUGGCAAUCUGUUAUAGCAGUGACAGUAAAUUUAUACAGUUAGCUUACCGUUAUUGAAAGAUUGAGAUGUCGAAAGGGGACACUGAGGUAAGGGAGGAGCUACAGGAGGUGGCUUCCACCCCUAGGGCUGGGAGAAAAGGGAAUUAGCCAGGCUCAUUUGAACCCAGAAACGUGGAGGACAGACCCUGUGGAACUGGGACCCAGACCUCUGAGGAGUGGGCACUGGCAUACUGGUGCUCUGAGGAGCACCCUGAAGCUGAUUCUGGGAAUAUGGAGAAUACUGGAAACUGCAACCAGCUGCUGCUGCCGGGGUGAAAAAUUACUGGAGCUACUCUGACAGGAACAGGAAGCCUUUAGGAAGCAAACAGGAGAUCCCUCCUCCAACUUCCCUCUCUGCCUCCAGUACCCGCUAUGAACAGAGUGUAACAACAGCUGACAAAGCAGAAAUGAGGUUUGUGGAGUCUCA